rnacentral:tRNA from 1 species
GGGGUUAUAGUUAAUGAUAACAUUUGAGUUGCAUUCAAAAAGUACUGCAAUUGCAGUUAACCUCA